GUUUGGGAAGAGGCAAAAACGCAUGCAGAUGAAAUUCACCAGACAGACGGCAGCUAUCCAAUUGGAUCUGAGGCAGUGCCUGACCAAGACCCGCUAUGGGAUUAUAAUUCCUCGGCUGGUAUUUUAGCCAGAGACAGGUUUGUUACAUGCCUUCUAGCUGGUCUCAGAAAGGCAGUUUUAAAGCCAAUAAAUUUUGAAAAACUCCAAGAGGUUGUCCAGGAAAAACAGGAAAAUCCAUCUCAGUUUUUACAACGCCUCACGAAGGCUUUGUUGCAAUUCACUAAUCUAGAUCCUGACAAUCCGGAAGCUUCUCAGGUGGACCCCAGAGUUUGGGACGUCCAGAACCCCUCUGUUGCUAAACAUCAUUCUCCCGUUGUCAUCCAGUUACUGGACCCUACCAGGACCUUGCUCUAUCAAGCUCCGGAGGACAUCGGGACCACCCACCUUGUCCCCAAUUCCAGAACAUGAGACUCCACUCCGGCAGCCGAGCUCGACCUCAUUGGAUUAGACAUGGGUUUCUUGUCCUACCCCUGCUGUUCUUCAUUUCCAUCCAGGGCAGUCCUUACAUUUGGAGAUUCGAGGUUCAAGAAACCCCCACAGAUAACAAACAGUCUUUCCAAAUAGGGUCAGGAAACUGCUCCAUAGCCGGAUGUCAGGUACCGAUCCAAAUCGCGAUCAUCCCUGUAUCUGUUAUCCCAUCUAAGUAUUAUGAUCUCUAUACUUGCUUUCUCUUUGACCAGACAGAAGAUUACUGUAAAAAAUGGCCAGACGAAUAUGGGGGCUGCCCAUAUUGGUCUUGUCAGAUACAUAUGCUAGGAUCACGGGUCAAUCAUUUCUUCUUUCAACACCGCAAGACGCUUUUCUUCCACAUACAAGACCCGUGGGAUUCCAGGUGGGAAACAGGAGUCGUUGGUAAGCUCUAUCGUAAAAACCAGCCCAGUUCCCCAAUAAGUACCAUCCAUAUUCAGAGAAAGUAUAUCUCAAUCGCCCAACCCCUAGAUAUUGGAAAAGUGGGGGAGAUAAUUAAACACUCCUCUAAGGUCCUUGAUUCUUUAACAGCACCCCUCAUAAAUGGCACUAACUUGCCAUUUCGCCUGUUGCUUCAAACUUUGACCUCAGCAUACCAACUCCUUAAUGUCACCAGGCCUGGUCGCUUUAAAGAUUGCUGGUUAUGUGUACCCCCAGGGACUGACUCAAAACUGUCACU